GUCGAGCGAACGGACGAGAAGCUUGCUUCUCUGAUGUUAGCGGCGGACGGGUGAGUAACACGUGGAUAACCUACCUAUAAGACUGGGAUAACUUCGGGAAACCGGAGCUAAUACCGGAUAAUAUUUUGAACCGCAUGGUUCAAAAGUGAAAGACGGUCUUGCUGUCACUUAUAGAUGGAUCCGCGCUGCAUUAGCUAGUUGGUAAGGUAACGGCUUACCAAGGCAACGAUGCAUAGCCGACCUGAGAGGGUGAUCGGCCACACUGGAACUGAGACACGGUCCAGACUCCUACGGGAGGCAGCAGUAGGGAAUCUUCCGCAAUGGGCGAAAGCCUGACGGAGCAACGCCGCGUGAGUGAUGAAGGUCUUCGGAUCGUAAAACUCUGUUAUUAGGGAAGAACAUAUGUGUAAGUAACUGUGCACAUCUUGACGGUACCUAAUCAGAAAGCCACGGCUAACUACGUGCCAGCAGCCGCGGUAAUACGUAGGUGGCAAGCGUUAUCCGGAAUUAUUGGGCGUAAAGCGCGCGUAGGCGGUUUUUUAAGUCUGAUGUGAAAGCCCACGGCUCAACCGUGGAGGGUCAUUGGAAACUGGAAAACUUGAGUGCAGAAGUGGAAAGUGGAAUUCCAUGUGUAGCGGUGAAAUGCGCAGAGAUAUGGAGGAACGCCAGUGGCGAAGGCGACUUUCUGGUCUGUAACUGACGCUGAUGUGCGAAAGCGUGGGGAUCAAACAGGAUUA
rnacentral:rRNA from 1 species